UGGGGAAUAUUGCACAAUGGGCGCAAGCCUGAUGCAGCGACGCCGCGUGGGGGAUGACGGCCUUCGGGUUGUAAACCUCUUUCAGCAGGGACGAAGCGAAAGUGACGGUACCUGCAGAAGAAGCACCGGCCAACUACGUGCCAGCAGCCGCGGUAAUACGUAGGGUGCGAGCGUUGUCCGGAAUUACUGGGCGUAAAGAGCUCGUAGGUGGUUUGUCGCGUUGUUCGUGAAAACCGGGGGCUUAACCCUCGGCGUGCGGGCGAUACGGGCAGACUAGAGUACUGCAGGGGAGACUGGAAUUCCUGGUGUAGCGGUGGAAUGCGCAGAUAUCAGGAGGAACACCGGUGGCGAAGGCGGGUCUCUGGGCAGUAACUGACACUGAGGAGCGAAAGCGUGGGGAGCGAACAGGAUUAGAUACCCUGGUAGUCCACGCCGUAAACGGUGGGUACUAGGUGUGGGUUUCCUUCCUUGGGAUCCGUGCCGUAGCUAACGCAUUAAGUACCCCGCCUGGGGAGUACGGCCGCAAGGCUAAAACUCAAAUGAAUUGACGGGGUCAUAGCUGUUUCCU
rnacentral:rRNA from 1 species